GUGCACGCUCCCACCUGUCCGAAACAGAGGCUCUGGACUGGGAAAAUGUCCACAGGCUUCGAUGCCACAUAGUAAAAAAAGUACAUAUAUAACAUUUACAGGGGCUCAGGCCGCCGCUGCCUUCUCUCUGGAGUAGCUCUGCCUCCCGGCCAUGGUUCCCUUCAUGCCUCAGUGUACCAGGACAGAGAGGUCCUUCCGCACCCUCUUGCUGCCAGGUGCGCAACAAUAGCUGGGCGUCCGCCCCGCCCUCUCUACCGCAGGAGCCACAGCGUCCGCCCUCGCCCCCAAGCCGCGUCUGCCGGGUGCCAAGCUGAAGAGCGCAUCCUCGCCUCCUUCCUCCCGGGGCAGCCCCAGAGCACGCGAGGAGGGUGCUGCGCGGGACGCGGGGGUCGGCUCACCAGGGCGCAAACAGGUGAUAUUUUGCCAUGUACCUGAGACCAUAUCAAAG
rnacentral:lncRNA from 1 species